AUGAUCUUUUUCCGUAUUUACAUGAUCAUGUUGAGAGGAGUUUUCUGCUCCCAGGUUAAAGAUUUUAGAGGGAGUUAAAUCUGGACAGUGCAGCCUGGUUCCACACACCUAGUUUUGACCUCCUUAACUAUAUUGUUCAACCUGUAGGGAAAAUCGAUGAGUAAUUUAUGUAUCAUAGUUUGGCAAUUUUGCUCAUUUGAUUUAGCAUAUUUGUGUUCCAACGAUAGGCAUAUACUUGUAAUUUGAUGCAUUUUGUUUGCUUACUUGCCCUAGGUUGCUUUCGAGUCUGUUAUAUCUCAUAUUUUUAUGCAUAAUAUAUCUUAUAUGAAAUAGUACUUGCAAAUAGUAUUAGGUGUUAGUUAAGCGUAGGCGCAUAGCUUGUUUCUAUUUGUUUUUUAGAUUUUGUUUCUUUUCAAUGACUUGAAUUCUUGCCUUCUAUUUCAAUUAGAUACAUCUACUAUUUUCAACCUAGUGAUUUGUAGUGCACCAUAUACCCUACCGACUAGCUACUUUUUGUUCCACACAAUCUGGUGAUGAAUCAGCUUGAAAGGAAUAAUUUUUUCUUGCUCUGUAAUCUGUCAUUUAUAAUUGCUAGGCAAAGUUCCGACAUGUGCUAAACCUUCAUUACACAACCGGCAUCGUAGGCAAGGCCAUGAAUGGGAGUGGCUGCGUACAUACCGGCCAUGAAUGGAGCGCAGCAGCGUUGUGGACGGCUGCGUACACAGGACGGGGCACCACCCCGCGGCAGGGUGCUUUGGCUUGUUAGCGUCAAGGUGCAUCUCUCUCUCUCUCUCACUUAUUUCGACAUUUUGAUUUGAUCCCUAUUCCAGAGUUUGGGUGAGGAAUAAUAUGGUUUUCAAUAGGCAAUAAUAUUUCUAUUUGGAAUUGGCCAAUUAGUGUAUUUUUCUCAUGUUCUUUUAAGUUCUACGGAUGAACUUUGCAUAAUUUACUUGUAGGCAAGUUAUGCAAAAUCAGCAAACAAAAUAUUCACCUCACAAUUUGCUAGCAGUACUUAGUUGUAUAUUGGGUAUGCAUUAAUUUCAUUUGUUCUAUAUUUUAUUUUUCUUCUUUCUGGUUCUGCAUUUAUCCUAUUAGUGUGUCUUCUUCACUUUUCUUUUUUGUAUCCUCUAACUACUGAGCUGCAAUAUUAUGGUUUGAAUUAGGCAGUAAUAUAGACAGAAAUGAAGGCAAUAAGUACAUGAUUCUUUUGUAUCAGAGAGGUAUGCAGUUUUUGCAAAGGUCAUAAGCAUUUUGAUUUGUUUAGUUAUGUAUUUUUUUAAUGUGGUAUUGGCAAUUUAUAUAUGCACGAAAAUAUACUGGUAGAUCUUUUUUUUGCUGGGAUGCAUACAUAGCACCAUGAGCCAUGAAUGCUCAGAUUUUGCUUGUGAUGUAGUUUUGGAUCAAGGGAGUGGGAGGCAAUACAAUCACAUCUCUUUUCAAGUUUGGUUUCCUCUUUUUUGCCUUUUUGAUGAUAGAUGAUUCUUUUUAUUUCUUAUACAUUUUUGGGAUCAAUGCAAUACUGAAUACUCAUAGCCCUGUUUGUAGGGAGUUUGUAUCAUGUAAUAGAAAUGUGUCUCAGCCAGCAUAUGUCUAAGGAAGAAUAGAUUGGUAGUCAAUGUCAUAUACCCCUCUCGGAUUUAUUUCUUGAACACAAAGGACCUUUGGGUUGGGUGAUUGGGGGUGGAGAGGGAUCAACAGCGUGCAGGUGGAGUAUGGGUGCAUGAUCAAGCAAGUUUCAUUUUGGAUAGAUGACAACUAUUUGUAGAUACAUUGUAGAUAGAAAAAAUUGGGGGUUCAGAUUCUGUUUCUUUUGGGGAAGGGAUAGUUGCUGGGGAGGAACCCUAAAAUCACUGUAGAUGAACGCAAACAGUAUCAUUUUCUCUUGGGGAGUGGUGAAAAAUGUACUUGCCCUAGUUUAGACAGUCUAUGGCACUAUAUUUGUUUUCCUUUUGCA